AAAAGGAUGGAUAAACUUUAUCGAAAAAGGUUAGGAAAGCAGGUGCUCUUAUUGGACGUCACGGGAGAAAUCCCGAUGGCUGAGAGGGUCAUACCCUUCCGAGCUGUGGAGCGUACCAACUUCACUUUGAUUAACAUCGAGUUGUAUGUUUCGCUGCUGUCUAAUGAGGCGCAGCAUCGGUCUGGACUCUGGACGGCCUGUCCAAGGGACUGGAACCCAAGGCUCUUCUUAGUCUAACAUGAUUGUUGUAAUCUGUCUAUUGAGGCGCAGCAUCGGUCUGUACUCUGGACGGCAGGUCCAAGGGACUGGAACCCAAGGCUCUUCUUAGUCUAACACGAUUGUUGUAACCUCGGC
rnacentral:lncRNA from 1 species